GGGGAAUCUUGCGCAAUGGGGGCAACCCUGACGCAGCGACGCCGCGUGCGGGACGAAGGCCUUCGGGUCGUAAACCGCUUUCAGCAGGGACGAGGCCGCAAGGUGACGGUACCUGCAGAAGAAGCCCCGGCUAACUACGUGCCAGCAGCCGCGGUAAUACGUAGGGGGCGAGCGUUAUCCGGAUUCAUUGGGCGUAAAGCGCUCGUAGGCUGCCCGCUAGGUCCGGGGUCAAAUCCGGGGGCUCAACCCCCGCACGCCCCGGAUACCGGCGGGCUUGAGUCGGGUAGGGGAAGGCGGAAUUCCAGGUGUAGCGGUGGAAUGCGCAGAUAUCUGGAAGAACACCGGUGGCGAAGGCGGCCUUCUGGGCCUCGACUGACGCUGAGGAGCGAAAGCUGGGGGAGCGAAC
rnacentral:rRNA from 1 species